UACGGAGGGUGCGAGCGCUAAUCGGAAUUACUGGGCGUAAAGCGCACGCAGGCGGUUUGUUAAGCUAGAUGUGAAAGCCCCGGGCUCAACCUGGGAUGGUCAUUUAGAACUGGCAGACUAGAGUCUUGGAGAGGGGAGUGGAAUUCCAGGUGUAGCGGUGAAAUGCGUAGAUAUCUGGAGGAACAUCAGUGGCGAAGGUGACUCCCUGGCCAAAGACUGACGCUCAUGUGCGAAAGUGUGGGUAGCGAACAGG
rnacentral:rRNA from 1 species